UAUGUUAUUUAUUUUAUUCUUAUAAAUACGAUCGUUUUCAUACUCAUAAAUUAUUUUUGAUGAUAGAGCUUAUGAAUUAAUAAUUUAUACUGUUAAAUAUAAUUUAGAGCAUUUAAAACUUCUAAAAGUUAAAUUUUAUAAGUUUUUGACAUCAAUUAUUUUAUAUCAAAAGAUCUUAAAAUUGACAAUUUUUUGAUAUAAAAUAAAAUAUAUAUAUGUA
rnacentral:lncRNA from 1 species